rnacentral:rRNA from 1 species
AUUGAACGCUGGCGGCAGGCCUAACACAUGCAAGUCGAGCGGGGUUUUCGGACCUAGCGGCGGACGGGUGAGUAAUGCGUAGGAAGCUGCCCGAUAGAGGGGGAUACCAGUUGGAAACGACUGUUAAUACCGCAUAAUGUCUACGGACCAAAGUGUGGGACCUUCGGGCCACAUGCUAUCGGAUGCGCCUACGUGGGAUUAGCUAGUUGGUGAGGUAAUGGCUCACCAAGGCGACGAUCCCUAGCUGGUUGGAGAGGAUGAUCAGCCACACUGGAACUGAGACACGGUCCAGACUCCUACGUGAGGCAGCAGUGGGGAAUAUUGGACAAUGGGCGCAAGCCUGAUCCAGCCAUGCCGCGUGUGUGAAGAAGGCCUUCGGGUUGUAAAGCACUUUCAGCGAGGAGGAAGGGGUUGUAGUUAAUAGCUGCAACCUUUGACGUUACUCGCAGAAGAAGCACCGGCUAACUCUGUGCCAGCAGCCGCAGUAAAAC